rnacentral:rRNA from 1 species
UGCAAGUCGAACGGAAAUAAAGGAGCUUGCUCCUUUAAAUUAGUGGCGAACGGGUGAGUAACACGUGGGCAACCUGCCCCUGACUCUGGGAUAACUACUCGAAAGAGUAGCUAAUACCGGAUAUGAAACCUGAAGACAUCUUCGGGUUUGGAAAGUUUUUCGGUCAGGGAUGGGCCCGCGGCCUAUCAGCUAGUUGGUGAGGUAGUGGCUCACCAAGGCGACGACGGGUAGCCGGCCUGAGAGGGCGACCGGCCACACUGGGACUGAGACACGGCCCAGACUCCUACGGGAGGCAGCAGUGGGGAAUAUUGCGCAAUGGGCGAAAGCCUGACGCAGCAACGCCGCGUGCGGGAUGAAGGCCUUCGGGUUGUAAACCGCUUUCAGCAGGGAAGAAGCGAAAGUGACGGUACCUGCAGAAGAAGCACCGGCUACCUACGUACCAGCAGCCGCGGUAAUACGUAGGGUGCAAGCGUUGUCCGGAUUUAUUGGGCGUAAGAGCUCGUAGGCGGUUAGUCACGUCGGAUGUGAAACUCAGUGCUUACACUGAGCUUGCAUUCGAUCCGGGCUGACUAGAGAUUGUAGGGGAGACUGGACCUCCUGGGGUACCGGUGAAAUGCCCAAAUUUCAGGAAAAACACCGGUGGCGAAGGCGG